GCGGGAAUAGCUCAGUGGUAGAGCACAACCUUGCCAAGGUUGGGGUCGCGGGUUCAAGUCCCGUUUCCCGCUCCA
rnacentral:tRNA from 10 species